CGGCGAGUGAAGCGGCAACAGCUCAAAUUUGAAAUCUGGCUUCGGCCCGAGUUGUAAUUUGUAGAGGAUGUUUAUGGUGCGGUACCUUCCGAGUUCCCUGGAACGGGACGCCACAGAGGGUGAGAGCCCCGUCUGGUUGGAUACCAAACCUGUGUUAAACUCCUUCAACGAGUCGAGUAGUUUGGGAAUGCUGCUCUAAAUGGGAGGUAAAUCUCUUCUAAAGCUAAAUACCGGCCAGAGACCGAUAGCGCACAAGUAGAGUGAUCGAAAGAUGAAAAGCACCUUGAAAAGGGGGUUAAACAGUACGUGAAAUUGUUGAAAGGGAAGCGUUUAUGACCAGACUUGUGCCGUGUGGCUCAUCCGAGGUUCUCCCCGGUGCACUCCACACGGUUCAGGCCAACAUCGGUUUUCGCCGGGGGAUAAGAACAGUAGGAACGUAGCUCCCCUCGGGGAGUGUUAUAGCCUAUUGUACGAUACCCUGGCGGGGACCGAGGACCGCGCUUCGGCUAGGAUGUUGGCGUAAUGGUCAUUAGCGACCCGUCUUGAAACACGGACCAAGGAGUCGUCCAUUAGAGCGAGCGUUUGGGUGUAAAACCCGCACGCGUAAUGAAAGUGAAAUUAGGUGAGAGCUUCGGCGCAUCAUCGACCGAUCCUGAAGUUUACGGAUGGAUUUGAGUAAGAGUUUUAACGGACGGACCCGAAAGACAGUGAACUAUGCUUGAAUAGGGUGAAGCCAGAGGAAACUCUGGUGGAGGCUCGCAGCGGUUCUGACGUGCAAAUCGAUCGUCAAAUUUGAGCAUGGGGGCGAAAGACUAAUCGAACUGUCUAGUAGCUGGUUACCGCCGAAGUUUCCCUCAGGAUAGCAGUGUUGACCUUCAGUUUUAUGAGGUAAAGCGAAUGAUUAGGGACUCGGGGGCGCUUAUUAGCCUUCAUCCAUUCUCAAACUUUAAAUAUGUAAGAAGCCCUUGUUACUUAAUUGAACGUGGGCAUUCGAAUGUACCAACACUAGUGGGCCAUUUUUGGUAAGCAGAACUGGCGAUGCGGGAUGAACCGAACGGGGGGUUAAGGCGCCAGAAUGUACGCUCAUCAGACACCACAAAAGGCGUUAGUACAUCUUGACAGCAGGACGGUGGCCAUGGAAGUCGGAAUCCGCUAAGGACUGUGUAACAACUCACCUGCCGAAUGUACUAGCCCUGAAAAUGGAUGGCGCUCAAGCGUACUGCCCAUACCCCCCCUUCAGGGUAGAAACGAUGCCCUGAAGAGUAGGCGGCCGUGGAGGUUGUGACGAA
rnacentral:rRNA from 2 species